AUUANAAUCCCACUGAGGAUAGGUCACAAAGAAGGGUUUCCCAGGAUGAGACCCAGCCAUUGCACUCUGGCUGCGGCGACCCCUACAGUUUCCCCAAAUGUGGGAAACUCAACUGCAUAAUUUGUGGUAAUAUGGAACUGAGUGCGUGCUUUCCCCUA
rnacentral:snRNA from 1 species